UUUUUUCUUUAUUUUCUUCACCCGACUUUUUUCUUAUCCUUCAUCAUCCUGGCUCAUCUCUUCUCAUUCAUCAAACUUUUCUCACUUAGUUGCCCGUUUGCCAAAUAGCCCCGUUUCAUCUCUCCGGUCACCAAGUAUUCAAGGUCUAAAAUGUACCACAAGAGAGGACUUUGGGCUAUCAAGGCCAAAAAAGGCGGUGUUUUCCCUCGCCAUGAUCCAAAGCCUGCCACAAAGAACCCACCUCAGAAACCUCCCAAGUUCUACCCUGCUGAUAACAUCAAGAAACUGCUUGUCAACAAAUGCAAGCACAAGCCCACCAAGCUCAAGUUCAAUUUCAAAAAGGAUGAGUAUUACACCGAGGACGGUGUUGAUUGUGUUGGCUGGGAGAUUUAAAGGGAAGAGAGUUGUAUUCCUGAAGCAACUUUCAUUUGGCUUGCUUUUGGUGGGCAAGACCGAUCCAUAUGUUAUUUUAAGCCUAGGGGACCAAGUCAUACGCAGCAAAAAGAACAGCUAAACCACAGUCAUUGGACCUCCUGGUGAACCAAUUUGGAAUAAGGUAAAGGUCCUUGUAAUUCUGCUUCGACGUCUGUGUUUAAAUGAAGUUGUAAAGUUUUUCUAAAUGAUCAUAUAUGUUUAUAUAUAUAUAUAUAUAUGUGCUUGCUGGCAAGAUACAAGCAACUAUAGAACAUUGUCUGGUCAUAUGCAUCUUCUAUCAAGUCAUAUAAGAUCUUUGGUGAUGCAGUGGUGUUUGAUACCACUCAUUGCUUGACUGCAUUUGAUAUGCCACUUGGGAUAUGGGUUGGAAUGAAUAAUUAUGGUAUGCUUUGCUUCUUUGGUUGCUUGCUUCAACGAGAAGAAAAUCUGAGGUCUUUUUGAUGGGCAUUGAAGGUAAUAGAGCGAAAAUAGAAUACAAUACAAAUAUAUUCUAUUAGUCAUUUUGUGUAGAAAGGAAGUGGGUUUAUUGGUGGUUUUGUGUAGAAAUUAUGAUAAUACAAAUUUUCGGUAAUUAUGAUAAUAUAAAUUUUUUUGUUAGUCAAACCAGCUAUUGUAUGGUUUGUGGGUGUAAUUGCUGAAGCAGCAAGUGUAAUUGCUGUUUUGAAGGAUAAGACGUAAGGUUGGUCAUGCUCAUGACUAAAUUUUAUAUUUAUUACUCAUAUAACUUUAUGGAACUAGGUUAAUUAAUCUUUAGACAAACAUGUAUUCUAUCAAACUGUUCUAAUAUUAUCAUCAUCACUUGCUUAUUCCCUUCUCUUUCUAUUAUGAAGAGAAAACUAAUUUCUACUUACACAUUUAUUAUAUCAUUUAAUUUUAUUUUUCUAAAGCCUAGUUGACAAAUAAUCUAUUUUGCUAUUUGUGAAAAUAUUAAUCAUCUUUGUAAAAGUCAUAAACUUCAUAUUUAAUUUGAUUAUUGUUACGUUUUUCGCCUUGAUAUGUUAUUUUGCAGUUGGGCUAGACAUUAUUGAUUAAUAUUUAUCAUUCUCUUGUUUCAUUUUGAUAUGUUAUUUUGCAGUUGGGUUAAACAUUAUUGGUUAAUAUUUAUCAUCUCUUGUUUUUCAUUGGAUAUAUUUUAGUGUUGACGAGUUAAGGAAGUUUUUGUCUGACAAGGAUGCAUACCAUCAAUUUUUACUUUCGCUCGAUCAAGUUAAAAUUCAGAAUAAUGUACGUACAUAAGCUUUUUCUCUCAGUUGGGAAUCUGUCUAUAGUACUUAAGUGCAUAAAGUGCAUGCAUCAACCCCUUUUUAAAACUCUUGUUAGUGAAUAUUGGGUAUUGUGCUAAUACAAUGACUUUUGUGCUUGAUUCAUAUGGUUUAUUAAUGAGCAUGGUGGUUUAUGCCUUCCCAAUAUAUAGGAGUUUCUCUAUUGUGAUACUUGAGUCUAUGUUCUGAUUAUUUUUCCUAGAUAUUUUUUUGCAACUUGACAAUUAUCAGCUUAGAGAUGAAAUUCGCAAAGAAAGACUGCAGCUAGCGAGUUAUUCUUUUCUUGUUAUCUACUAGUUUUUGCUAUAUUAUUCAUGCACAAUUGGAUUAUGCAUGGAGAUAUCUACUAGAAUUUUUUUUUUUAACAUAUAUAUAUCAGUCGAGCACAAUUGAAUUAUGCAGGAGAAACAGAUCCUGAAUUUAUUUAAACUCACAAGGAGAACUUGGAAAAGGAACCACGCAUUAUGGAGCUAAAAAAUCAAGUAAUAUUUAUCUUGCUUUCUUUAGGUGGUGUCGAAAUUAUUGUAUUGAUUGUGAAACAUUUUCUCCUGUUUGUAUGGUACACAGUGUAGAAUUAUGAGAACAACAGAGUUGGCUGCUGUAGAGGAGAAGCUACAUGAGCUUGAGAGACAAAAGGAAGAAAUGUUGAGGUUCGGUUCCCCUGCUUCCCUUCUCCAAAGGCUUCAAGAUGCAAUGAACAUGGCAGAUGAGGAAUCUGAAAAUCUGCACAAGCAGUUUUUUAUGCAGAUAUACAAUAGGCUUCGCACCACUUAAGCGAGCACUCAUUCAUGUUGCAGCUAAAACAAAUUCACUCAGUUGAAUUGAUAUUAUAGAAAGAUAUAUACUUGGAACACAUUGAAAUCUUACUUCUAAUUUCAAUGCAUUGGCUAGAUAAACGUGAUUGUCUGUGUAUUAUUUGGUUAAAUAUUUUCUCUUUGCUAGUAUAUCAGUUUUGACAGUACUUGUUCAUGUACGUUCAACAUUCAUCGUGGUAUGGUAUUAUAUAGUUACAAUUUUAUCA